AGACUAUGGUGGGGACAUCUUCUUUGAAGAUUCCUAAAUCUCUCCCAAGUUUCAUAUAAAGACUUGCUUUCAUAUUAAGUAAAACUUGUGAUAUCCAUACAAAGUAU